rnacentral:rRNA from 1 species
GGUAGUAGCAAAUAUUCAAAUGAGAGCUUUGAAGACCGAAGUGGAGAAAGGUUCCAUGUGAACAGCAGUUGGACAUGGGUUAGUCGAUCCUAAGAGAUAGGGAAAUUCCGUUUGCAAGCGCCCGAUCUUGGGCCGCCUAUCGAAAGGGAAUCGGGUUAAUAUUCCCGAACCGGGACGCGGAUAUUGCCGUUCACGGCAAAUGUGGUAACGCAAACGAACCCGAAGACGCUUGCGGGGGCCCUGGGAAGAGUUCUCUUUUCUUUUUAACGAGCUUCCACCCUGACAUCAGCUUGCCUGGAGAUAGGGUUUAAUGCUCGGUAAAGCACCACACUUCUUGUGGUGUCCGGUGCGCUCUCGACGGCCCUUGAAAAUUCGGGGAAGACAUUGAUUUUCGUGUCCGGUCGUACUCAUAACCGCAGCAGGUCUCCAAGGUGAGCAGCCUCUGGUU